rnacentral:tRNA from 1 species
GGAAGCGUGGCAGAGCGGCCUAAUGCACUCGCCUUGAAAGCGAGCGAGCCGAGAGGCUCCGAGGGUUCGAAUCCCUCCGCUUCCG